rnacentral:rRNA from 1 species
CAGAAUGAACGUUGGCGGCGUGGAUUAGGCAUGCAAGUCGCGCGAGAAACCAAUUAGCUUGCUAAGAGGUGGACAGCGGCGGAAGGGAGAGUAACGUGUGGUUACUUGCCCUCGAGACCGGGAUAGUGUUGGGAAACUGGCAGUAAUACCGGAUAACAUCUUCGGAUCAAAUGGUGAGAUUCCGCUCGAGGAUAGGACCGCAUACUAUUAGCUUGUUGGUGAGGUAACGGCUCACCAAGGCUGCGAUGGUUACCGGGUGUGAGAGCAUGGCCCGGCUCACUGGGACUGAGACACUGCCCAGACACCUACGGGUGGCUGCAGUCGAGAAUCUUCGGCAAUGGACGAAAGUCUGACCGAGCGACGCCGCGUGCGGGAUGAAGGCCCUCGGGUUGUAAACCGCUGUCAGUUAGGAGGAAAUGCAUGAGGGUUCUCUCUCAUGUUUGACCGAUUUUCAGAGGAAGGACGGGCUAAGUUCGUGCCAGCAGCCGCGGUAAGACGAACCGUCCAAACGUUAUUCGGUAUCACUGGGCUUAAAGCGUGCGUAGGCGGCUUGGUAGGUGAGAUGUGAAAGCCCACGGCCCAACCGUGGAAUAGCGUCUCAAACCCCCAAGCUCGAGGAAGAUAGGGGUGAUGGGAACUUAUGGUGGAGCGGUGAAAUGCGUUGAUAUCAUAGGGAACACCGGUGGCGAAGGCGCAUCACUGGAUCUUUUCUGACGCUGAGGCACGAAAGCUAGGGUAGCGAACGGGAUUAGAUACCCCGGUAGUCCUAGCCGUAAACGAUGAGCAGCUGGGUUGAGGGAACUAUCACAUUCUCUCGGCCGUAGCGAAAGCGUUAAGUGCUCCCGCCUGGG